rnacentral:lncRNA from 1 species
UUCAAAUGGCAGAUGGGCAUAUACCUAAUUACACAUAAAAAACUACUAAAUUCCUCCAAAAUUCUACCUCUAUACUGAUAUCCUCAAGUCUAAUUUCAACAUAGGAUGACUCGCCUUGGAUAGAUGGAGCUACAUAUUUCAUCUUGAACCCAACGUUUACCACUUUGCCAACUUCAAACAAAUCCCAUAGAUCUCUUCUUCUAUGGUAGUUCCGACAUCUCAUCUACUUUCUCUGCCCAAGCAAGCUUACUGGUGCUGGGAGAGUUCAAUUUGAGGUAUAAUCUGCUAAAAUCCCUUCCCAAUUUUUCUGGAAUUAUUUUUUAAACUAUAUUAGUGUUUCCUUCCAUUGAUUUUCCUUUCAUACAUAUGGUAUCCAAUGUUGAAGUCAUACUUGUCACUUUCCUUUUCAGAACUGACUGCAGAGCUUGACCUCUUUUUAUGGUUGUUGGGUUUACUGUUUCAUUGACUUGUGAUUUGGUUAGAGUAG